rnacentral:rRNA from 1 species
UACGCAGGGGGCUAGCGUUGUUCGGAAUUACUGGGCGUAAAGCGCGCGCAGGCGGCUAUCCAAGUCAGUGGUGAAAGCCCGGAGCUCAACUCCGGAACUGCCAUUGAAACUGUUUAGCUGGAGUAUGGGAGAGGUGAGUGGAAUUCCCAGUGUAGAGGUGAAAUUCGUAGAUAUUAAGAGGAACACCGGUGGCGAAGGCGGCUAUCUGGCACACAACUGACGCUGAGGCGCGAAAGCGUGGGGAUCAAACAGG